AAGUCGUAACAAGGUUUCCGUAGGUGAACCUGCGGAAGGAUCAUUAUCGAGUUUGAAUGCGGGCUCUGACGCUGGCUUCGGCAUGUGCUCGAGCCCCGCUCAUCCACUCAACCCCUGUGCACUUUAGAGGUGUAGUCCUCCGUCAUGGGAGCCGCUCUCCGGAGCUGGGACUGCGCCUCGACCCCUCUACACAAACACCCUCAAAAGUCUAGUGAAUGUGAUCGCCCUCUGGGCGGAAUUGUAAUACAACUUUCAACAACGGAUCUCUUGGCUCUCGCAUCGAUGAAGAACGCAGCGAAAUGCGAUAAGUAAUGUGAAUUGCAGAAUUCAGUGAAUCAUCGAAUCUUUGAACGCACCUUGCGCUCCUUGGUAUUCCGAGGAGCAUGCCUGUUUGAGUGUCAUGAAUAUCAUCAACCUCUGCCGCGUUUUGCGCGGUCGGAAGGCUUGGACUUUGNNGGUUUCUGACGGCCUCUUCUCGAGGUCGCCUCCCCUGNAAUGCAUUAGCUGGACGCGAUCCUGGUCCCUUGCGCGGAGCUCGGACUUCCACGGUGUAGUACGCUAUUCACCUGGGACGACGCCUCCCGANCGCUUCNAGNCCNCUUCGAACCGUCUUCGGACAACCUCUUGANAAUCUGGCCUCAAAUCAGGUAGGACUACCCGCUGAACUUAAGCAUAUCAAUAAGCGGAGGAAAAGAAACUANCAAGGAUUCCCCUAGUAACUGCGAGUGAAGCNGGAAGAGCUCAAAUUUAAANUCUGGCUGGCUUCGCCGCCCGAGCUGUAAUCUGAAGAAGCGUUUUCCGCGUCGGACCGUGUACAAGUCUCCUGGAACGGAGCUUCAUAGAGGGUGAGAGUCCCGUCCAUGACACGGACUGCCGAUGCUUUGUGAUACGCUCUCAAAGAGUCGAGUUGUUUGGGAAUGCAGCUCAAAAUGGGUGGUAAAUUCCAUCUAAAGCUAAAUAUUGGCGAGAGACCGAUAGCGAACAAGUACCGUGAGGGAAAGAUGAAAAGCACUUUGGAAAGAGAGUUAAACAGUACGUGAAAUUGUUGAAAGGGAAACGCUUGGAGUCAGUCGCGUCGUCCGGGACUCAGCCUUGCUUCUGCUCGGUGUACUUCCUGGUUGACGGGCCAACAUCGAUUUGGGUCGACGGAGAAAGGGGGCGGGAAUGUGGCACCCUUCGGGGUGUGUUAUAGCCCGCCUUCCGCAUGCGCUGGCCUGGAUCGAGGACCGCAGCGCGCCUUCAUGGCCGGGGACUUGUCCCACGUAACGCGCUUAGGAUGUUGGCAUAAUGGCUUUAAGCGACC
rnacentral:rRNA from 1 species